CUCAACUGCCAUUCUAAGAGAACAAGGGAGGCAUUCAUGGUGAGUUCGGACACCUCUUUUUCUAGAAAAAAUAGCACCGGUUUAAAGGGGUAUCACAGUGCUUUAAAUGUAUGUGUGAAUUUGGCCUCUGUUGCCUUUUAUCACAGGGGAGUUGCCCCAGCUUCCUGAUGGUGAGGCUAAAACCUGAAGGUUUAGCAAAAGAAAUGUUGGUCUCAUUCACACAAGCCUAUCCCCCAUCUUCUUCAUUUAUGACUCUUAGCGAAGUGUGUCUCCAUUUAAAAGUAUUGGGCGCCAACUGACAUGAAGGGAUUAAUCUGGCAUGGCUGCUUCAUCCAUGCAAGUAACCCCUUGACAACAAGUGAUGAACAUCUAUGUGUGAAAUAGAUAUGCAAAGUCACACAAGGUGCCAGUUUCAAUGCUUGGAGUCCCUGCUUGAAACUCUGGAGAUAUAUCUGUCAGGGAGUGCAGACCAAUGCAGAUUCCUGUGUUUUUCAUUUGCAUGCUGAUCUGUGUACGCGUGGCCCCCACAAAAGAGCAUUUCUGUAGUGUAUUUUGACCUUAUUUGUCAGACUUGCUCUCCUAUUUGCACUUGAUUCUUUGAAAUGUCUGGUUCUUCUUGAGGAAAGGAAAGCUCGGAAUAAUGCUAACUAUCUCCCAGAGGUAUUUACAAGUGUCAUUUUGAAGCUGCCCGGAGCUCUGCUGGCUUCUAAUUUGUCUAUGCAAAUAAGCAGCCAGUGUUGAAGCGCUUCUGAAGAUGACACAGGCGAAAGGUAUUCGUAAAGGUGGGGAGGGGAAGGUGAAAUUGUUUUGGCCCGAGGUGUCAGCCAUAAUUAAAAAUUAAUUGGAAACAAAAUAUCAAUGACUUCUUCUCUUGUUUGUUUUUUGGAGAGGUUGUUUUCCUUUUUUCUUCUUUAUUUUGGCAUGAUUCGAAAGCCUCCUCGAUGCACAAUCAACACAGAGUUUGGUAUAGUUUAAUGAUGGCUUCAAGGAUAGUUAAUGAACGAAUGAAUGGGGAAAGAGUGGAAGUUUAGGAACGUAGAGGUUAUACUUAGCAUCUGAACAGACAACUUAGAGAGCCAGUGUGGUGGUUUGAACGCUGGACUAGGACUUGGAAGACUAGGGUUCAAAUCCCCACUCAGUCAUGAAACUCUCUAGGUGACCUUGGGCCUGUCACAAUCUCUCCACCCAGUAUUAUUAUAUUCCUGUUUCCCCUGGCAUUUUAUGGUUGCAAUAUAUUGUUCCUGGCAACCUUGAAAUUAUUAGCUGUGAGAGUAUGUAAUCAUUUUUAUUUUCAGCUAUUAAUGUCAUUAGAUGUUUUUGGGUGGUGUUUAUAUUUUUAAAGUGUUAAAUAUUUUUGAAUUGUUUUCAUGUUUUAAUUUUAUUGUUAUUGUUUUACCUUCUUUGCAGCCCUGGGCUCUUUUGGAAGGAACAGUGCGAUAUCAGUCAAUCAAAUAACAGUUUCCAGGGAGUAAGUCCCGCUGUUGAGUUUAUAUGCAUAGCUGAGAUGAGAUGCACAGGAUCUGAAGUUCCUCAAACCAUAUUAAUGUUCCUAGAAACCUGUGACAAUGUCUAUGUUUUCUGACAAUGCCUGUAAUGUAUGUCCUAAAAUACUCUGACAGUGAAGAACUUGAUUGCAGGUCAUGUAGCGCUUAGGUUGACAUUGAUACCAAUGUUAUAUUAGGACAAUUUCUGCAUGUAUGAUACAUGAGCGGAAAAUAUUGCAAAAUCAGUGCAACAGAUAUAUAUUUCUAGUGUGUGUGCACUUUCCUUCAUUGUCAGUUGGUUUUCUCUCAACUGAAACACACAGAAAUAAAACAGAAGGCGUGAAAUGGAACCAUCCCUGAAUAAAUCCACUUUUAAGUUCUACGGCAAUAGGUUGAACAGUGCAAGGAAGUAAUAUAUUUGAAAUUGCCCUCGUAUUUACAUAAUUACUGUUUGCAUAAAUUUCCUUAAUAUACGCUUCUAUAUGAUUCACUCAAGUCAAGAGACAUUUUUGUAACUGACGAGCCGUCUUCACAGAAUCACCCAUCUUUCUCUCUCUCCCAAAUAUUAAGGAAUUUCUCUUCCAACUCUGGUUCAUUAAAUUUCCUUGUUUGAUUUCCUGCUGUGAUGAUUAAAGUGGCAGGCGGCAGAAUGUUACAUUGCCAGCACUUUGCAUUAUUAUCCCUUUUCUCUUUAAGCAAUGGCAAUGAGCGUAUUGCAGCUGUUUCCCUUAGAUCAACCUAUUUUUAUCGUAACCAUUCUUCCUCGGCAGUAAAAGUCGCUCAUUAUUUUCUCUGCAACCUCCAUUCUCGAAUUAAAAAUAAGCUCCAUCUCAGAAAGUUUGCAAGGAAAUGUUGCUGCGGAUGUUGCCACCCUCUGUGGUUUCCCCCCCAAAGUAAUUACAUCCGGUUCUAAUCCCAGGGCAACGAUUUGGCUUCUGUGUUUCAUCUAAACAUUCUAAUUACUCCCCGUGUAAUUAUUCUCCCAUUUGCAAGGCUUUAGCACUUCCUGUGCAUCAUGCUGGCAACAGCUCCUAGCCCGUAUUCCUUUCCAGAGCGUAAUCUUGCUGUCUCUCUCAGCCACCCAAGUUAGGGUAUCACAACCUGUAUGGAAAUAAUAUCGUCCUGCAACACAGCUCAGUCAGUAGAGCACAAGACUCUUAAUCUCGGGGCUGUAGGUUCGAGCCCCAUGAUGGGCAAAAGAUACCUACAUUGCAGGAGGUUGGACUUGUGGUCCCCCCUGACUCUACAAUUCUAUGAUUCUAUCCUCAGCUGGUGGCGACCUUAGAAGAAACUUCAUAGUGGUCAGAGCUGCUUGAGAGUGGAACAGGCUGGUCCGGGAAGAAGAAGAAGAAGAAGAAGAAGAAGAAGAAGAAGAAGAAGAAGGAGAAGAGGAGGAGUUUGGAUUUGAUAUCCCUAAGGAGUCUCAAAGCGGCUAACAAUCUCCUUUUCCUUCCUCCCCCACAACAAACACUCUGUGAGGUGAGUGAGGCUGAGAGACUUCAGAGAAGUGUGACUAGCCCAAGGUCACCCAGCAGCUGCAUGUGGAGGAGCAGGGAAUCAAACCCGGUUCACCAGAUUACAAGUCCACUGCUCUUAACCACUACACCACACUGGCUCUCUCACGGGAGGUGGUGGACUGCUCUUCAUGGGAGGCCUUUCAGCAAAGGCUUUGCAAUCUUACUUUGCAACAUUCCUGCCAUAUAAGUUUAUGCAUUGAACAACAUUUCUGUGCCGCUGAACUGUAAAUAGGACCUCUAAGCUGCUAAGAUCAGGAUUGGGCUAGAUGCAGGCAUUUAAGCAGAUACCAGAAUAUAAGAACAGGCUGCUGGAUCAGGCUGAUGACCCAUCUAGUCCAGCAUCCUGUUCUCCCAGUGGCCUACCAGAUGCUUGUGGGGAGUCUGCAAGCUGGACAUGAGUGCAUACAUGUGAUUCUCAGCAACUGGUAUUCGGAGGCAUGGUGCCUCUGGUAGUGAUGGUAGAACAUAGGCUUUGGGGCUAGUUGCCUUCUAUAGCCUUGUCCUCCAUGUCAUCCUCUUUUAAAGCUAUUCACGUUGGUGGCCACCUGCCUCCUGGGGGAGCAGGUUCAAUAAUUUGACUGUGUGACGAAACACUUUCUUUUAUCUGCC
rnacentral:lncRNA from 1 species